AUGGAGGGCUUGAACUCAUGACCCUGAGCUUGAGACCUGAGCUGAGAUCAAGAGUCAGAUGGAUCCUUGCUGAUGAAAUGACCAUUAUCUGGAAUAUUUCUGGUCUUCCUGGCUGAGGGAAAGAGACCUCUGGCAAUCACGUGCUCUGGCAUGAAGAUGCAGGUGCCACUUCCUCUCACACCUCAUUAGAAAGUGUCCACUAGAAAGUGCUGGUCACAUGGUAUCAGCUCACCACAGAGGGACCAGGCCAUGCAGCCCUCCUGUGUGGUCGAAGAUGGAGUGGAAUUGGUGACUACUCACUUGAGUGAAAACCAUCAUAUGCAUCCCAUUUACCAUAAUUCUAAGUAUUCAGUUUUGUAGUUUAUUCUCUAAAUAAUGAGUAACAGCAUUUGGUAUUGGUGAUUAUAUCCUGCAUAAAUGGCCUGGCAUCAUGUUACUGGAUUUUGCUAUGAUUUCUGCAAAAUAAAAAAUAUUCACCUUUU